AUUGAACGCUGGCGGAAUGCUUUACACAUGCAAGUCGAGCGGCAGCGCGGGGCAACCUGGCGGCGAGCGGCGAACGGGUGAGUAAUGCAUCGGAACAUGUCCAGUCGUGGGAGAUAGCCCGCCGAAAGGCGGAUUAAUACCGCAUACGCCCGGGAGGGGAAAGCGGGGGACCUGCAAGGGCCUCGCGCGAUUGGGUUGGCCGAUGUCCGAUUAGCUAGUUGGUGGGGUAAAGGCCCACCAAGGCGAUGAUCGGUAGCUGGUCUGAGAGGAUGAUCAGCCACACUGGGACGGAGACACGGCCCAGACUCCUACGGGAGGCAGCAGUGGGGAAUUUUGGACAAUGGGGGCAACCCUGAUUCAGCCAUUCCGCGUGAGUGAAGAAGGCCUUCGGGUUGUAAAGCUCUUUUGUCCGGAGCGAAACGGUUGUGGUGAAUAUCCACGACUACUGACGGUACCGGAAGAAUAAGCACCGGCUAACUACGUGCCAGCCGCCGCCGUAACAC
rnacentral:rRNA from 1 species